UCAGCCAGUUCGUAAAUAGUAAAUACCAGGCCUGGGAUCGGAAUCCCUGCCACUGGAAACUGCCCAGCAGCGCUGUGACUCUGCCAGCUGCAGCUCCGGCUUUUAGUCGCCCAUGGAGUCUGUUUUGACAUGACCAGAACUGAAAUUUAGUUGUCGCGCCUCUGAACUGAAACGGCAAACUGCAAAGGAAGAAAACGAACAGCUUGAGACCCGUUUCGGGCCCGGCGUGAGGCAAGGAACGCGUCAGCCGAAAUGAGGGAGCCAGCUGGAUCCAGCAAGAACUUGGAUAUUGAAUCUCCCAGAAGGCAGACCUCUGGGUGUGUCUGUGCGGGAGUUUCUAGAUUGAUGACUACAGCAUCCUGAAUGUAGAUGGAUCUGUGCUUCAGACUGAAUUGCAAAGAAGAAAGUGAACCAAUCACCACCAUUCACCUCUCUCAGAUGUGAAUGCAAUGGAACCGGCCACCUCAAGCUCCUGCCGCCAUGCCUUCCCUCCUACGGUUGGUACAUGGAAUUUGGGGCAACUCAAGUCUAUGUUCCCAGGCCAUGGUCACUCAAAAUGGUUCCAGAACAAACUUUCUCUUAUUCCCUUUAAG